CUAACUUUGAGCAUUUGCGCUACGAUAAGUGGAUGGCCACAUUUUUAUAUGCUCUAUGUGGGCUUUGAGAUCAUGGCCAUGGUGAUUGUUUAUCGUGUUCAUGUUGGUGUGCCAAAACAAUUUUUUUGUGUUGGCCAAUCUUCUUAAAGUUAGAUGUCUUACACCGUUUGUAGGUUUUGUCACAUGCAUUACGAAUAAAGA
rnacentral:lncRNA from 1 species